ACCAAGGUUCGAUUCGGGCGCAGCGAGAAAGCGUUGCCGCAGGCAACGACCCGAAGGGCGAAGCGCGCAGCGCUGAGUCAUCCUUCCCCCACCACCA
rnacentral:sRNA from 1 species